rnacentral:rRNA from 1 species
UGGGGAAUAUUGCACAAUGGGCGAAAGCCUGAUGCAGCGACGCCGCGUGAGGGAUGACGGCCUUCGGGUUGUAAACCUCUUUCAGUAGGGACGAAGCGCAAGUGACGGUACCUGCAGAAGAAGCACCGGCUAACUACGUGCCAGCAGCCGCGGUAAUACGUAGGGUGCGAGCGUUGUCCGGAAUUACUGGGCGUAAAGAGCUCGUAGGCGGUUUGUCACGUCGUCUGUGAAAUCCUAGGGCUUAACCCUGGACGUGCAGGCGAUACGGGCUGACUGGAGUACUACAGGGGAGACUGGAAUUUCUGGUGUAGCGGUGGAAUGCACAGAUAUCAGGAAGAACACCGAUGGCGAAGGCAGGUCUCUGGGUAGUAACUGACGCUGAGGAGCGAAAGCAUGGGUAGAGAACAGG